UUUGGCAUUUACAAUACUGCAACCAUAGUAAAUCACAGUUGAUCUCUAAAAACUUCUGUUGACAUGUCUUCUUGACACUUUAGGUUAUUAGGUUAUUUAUUUCCAUAUUGUUACAGGAUCACUAUAUUUAUUUGUUUGGGGACUAAUUGCACAUCUGUAUUUGUGAGGAAUAUAAUAUAGAAACUUGCAAGUUGUACUGUUCCAUUUUUUUUCCAGUUCCACAGUAUUAUCAUUUUGCUGCAUUUAGCAGGUGCAAGGUAAGUGUAUCUUAUAACAUACUGUUAGUCUCUGCUUAGUGACUUUCUUUAUAUCUUCUAGAACUUCCUCCCAAUAUGAUUUUAAUUUUGGACAGGUGAACCAAAACCAAAUAUGAACGUGGGUACCUCUAUCCUGUUCACAUCUCCAACAUUUAUCAGAGCUGUUUGGGAACAUUUUCUUAAGUUUCAACGGUGUAUAAUGCCACCUGAUUGUUGCACAGAGCUCAGCUGACCCCUCAAUACGCAUUUUUUUGUUUCCCACAAUGUUAUAGGUAUAUUGCUGCCCUGGCUAGUGACUGCACAGAGCUCUUCCGUCAGGCAACCAUCCGGCGCGAAGGCUCCGGGACCUUAUUGCAUGGCAGGCAAUUUCUCCAUACAUCAUACAGAUGACCUCCCCCUGUGGCUGAUACACCUGACCUUCCUCCAGCAAGCCAUCUAAUCUCUGCUUGGGCAGGAAGACCAGGAUAAUACAUGCCUUGUCUCUAAUAAAUGACUUAAUGAAGCACAUGGCCAGCUGAAAGGAAGAGAGUACUGGGCCUGGCUGAGCUAAAAGUUGAGAAACCUGCUAAUACAAUGGAAAAUAAGAGACCUGAGCAGGAAAUGAAGCAGAAAGGCUACUGUGAAAUAAUAUAUAUUAUAAAGCGUUAUAUUAAAUAAUUAUAAUAAUAUAGCUUUACAUUCAUAAAAAAGAAAGAGCCCAGAAAUUCUGCCAUCCUAUGAAAAAUUACAUGUGAAUCGAAUCUUAUCAGAGGUGUUCCAUUACUAGUAGCAAGUGUGAUGACGCAGACAGGGGGGUCUGUGGAAUGUACCUACUGGGGACCAGCACAAUAAGAGGUAAGAGAUUACACCAGGCGUCUUUUACGGUGGCAAAUAAUGACAAACAAAACCAGGAUGGGGACUGUCAUGGACAGACUUGAAGGCAUAAAGCAUUACUAUCAUAGGGCUUUCCAAACCUCUGGGUUGUUUAGACACAGUAGGUUUAAUCUAUAAAAUACACAAUAUCUAACCAUAUUCUUUUUUUACUUUGGUUCUUCUCGUGUAGGAUAUAUGCUACCUAAUCAAGUUGAAAAAUGUGGACAAUUUGUUACUGGAUGUGCUGUGGCAGACCUUACUUUCUAAUCAGGUAAUGUAAUUAAAAUGGCAAAUUUGCAGAUGGGUAGUAAACCAAAGUAAACAGGUCUUGGCUUUCUAAAAACUGAACAGUAAAGUGUAUCUGCUUGUUAUUGGUAACUAGACCUGUACCAGAUGUUGCACCUUUUAUUACAUUACCCCAAAGGGACUUAAUACACAUAACCCCCUUACUUUAAUUUUUGCAAACGUUGUUGAUGUUAUGUAAUACAAGUGAAUUCUGAAUUCAGAGUACAAUGGAAAGGAAGUUCAUUAAAGGGUUGUGGCAUCAGAAUCCAAUUUUUUGCUUUGGUGUGUGUGUGUGGUAUUAUACAGUAUUGAUGUGUUAAGCUAUUCUUGUGUCAGUUAUUUUUGUUUUCAUUAGUUCUUUUUUUAAUUACUAUCUAUGGUAAUAAUGAUGGUUACAUGCUUAGAUUGCUUAGAUAUCAAGACAAUUAUUGUUAGUGAUAGUGAUAAUGUUCCUCACGUAUUGGGACUGGAAAUGGAUAUAUAUGGUAUCCUGGCAGAAAUGACUUACUAUUUGGUGAGGAAUGCUUUUCGAUCCAGUUUAUUUAUUUCAGACCUUUACCUUAAUUGUAUUUAGUUAGGUUACAAUGUCCCACUAGCAUUGUUGAGGUUAGUGGCUUGCCUUUGUUGAGUGCCUGGUGUAAGAAUUAUGUAUGUUAUUUGGUGAUUACCACCUACUGGCUGUAGUGUCAUUUGUACAUAUCUCUUUGUUCGCACCUGCCAAAUAAUGACCAAUGGAGGAUCAGCUCAAAAGUAGCUUCUUCUUUAGAGUGUGAUGUGAAGUUAAGUAUCAUUUUUUUUACAUAUAUGUAAUAAUGUUCCCCCUGUUGUAAAUGUCACAGUGUAAAAAUACACAAAAUUGCUGUAAUAUUUUUUUUUAAAUAAAUGAUGUCCCCAAAAAAAAAUGUACACAAAUCAAACUUAAAUACUGUAGUUAGAGAAUGGUAGCAUAGUUUUCAAAAACACCCGGAGCUUCAAUCACUGUGUUCCUUUUGCACGCAGCACGAAUUAAACUUCAAAGCUUUUCCGAAGAAAGGAAAAAAGUAAUUGUAUUCACUUGUCCACUGAAAGUUUAUGCCUGCCAGAGCCAUUUACUGGGGCUGCUUAACAGCUUUGUUGAGGUGUUUAUCCUUUCGAGAUAGUUCAUAGCUCUCUGCAUUUGGGGAAUAGAAAAAGAUUCAGACUAUGCCAAGCAUUCAGGAUAGUGUUUGCUAGUCAAGCACAAUGUUGCAACUCAUCUACAUAAUCCCUUCAUCUUGUUUGCGACAGGGAGAGGCCGAGGAUAGUGGCAUGUCAAAUUUGACAGCUUUAUUAAACUGGAAAGACUAUACUCGUAUCCCUGUUGUUUAAAUCGUUUUAGUAACUAUAACAUGCUUCAGGAAACAAAAAAACUAUUUACUUGUUAUACUUUUCUUUUGUAUUUUAAACAGAGAAAAACUCCAGUUCACUAAACAAAUUUAUUUUUAAUAUUUGCUGUAUUUAUUAUUUUGCAAUAAA